ACUUUUUGCGUUGAAAGCUGGAAAAUAAAAACCAAAAACAGAAACAGCCGCGUCCCACGAACCCGUCUUCUCCCAACCUCCUCGAUCUUGAUCUCCUCCAUCUCGUGAGUCGUGACGCACCCACGAUCUCCCCUCUCUUCUGCACGAUCUAGCCAUGCGCACAGGGAGGGUGGUCAACGAGUGCAAGCGGAGGUGAGAGGUGCUCGUGGCACAGUACAGGGAGGUGCGGCACAGAUUGCUGCUCGACAGGGAGGUGCGGCACAGAUUGCUGCUCCACAUCCUGCCGCAGGGGAGAUUCCCGAUAGCCACCGCACAGCUCCCCCUCCUCGUCGUGACUGCGUUGGUUCUGAUGUGCCCGACCCACGCGUCCAGAAAGUGUGGAUUUCUCAUAUGUUCUCGUUUGCGGGCACUGGAUCGUUCGCGCUUCAUCGUCGAAUCGUCCUCCCUGCUCUCGUUCAGUCGCAUCUCGCAUGGUCAUUGGGAUAGACGGAUUGACACCUCUGGCCGUGUUGUGAGUGUGUCCGCCUGUGGUGGGAUCCGGCCUUUGUGGGUGGCCAUGUCUGCUUUACGCUGACAUGUCGUCGUGCAGCUCAUGUUGCCAUCCAAAGCUUCCAUCCAUGGUGCUGAUUACACAGGCGAGGACUUGCCCGUCCAUCUGUAGUCUGAGAUGUCGCCCUGCUAUCCUUGUUCCGCCAACGACAAUGUCUCCUCUGGCCGCUUAUCCCGCUCUGCAUCCAAAUCGGGCAACUGCAGUCUGAAGGAUCUCGAGCCCGCCAUGGUAGGACAACUUCGACCAUGGAGCGGAGCCAGCGGGCAUGGUCCGGCACGGGCGGCAAGUGAUUUUUUGUUCUUAUUGAUGACUUGUUCCUACACAUACAUCCGGAGAAAGCAGAUGUAUACGAUGUUCACUUUGAGAGGCUGAACUGAACAACGUAAAAACAAGAGGCUGAACUGAAUUAGGUUGAUAUGAAGGGAUUAACAAAGGAUCAACGUGCCACCAUGGUGGUGGUGGUCCGUGAUAUUUUAAGAACAACGGUGAGGUAAUAUCAUGUAGUUGUGCUCAGUACUUUUCGUUUGUCUGUUGAAGGAUUUAUAUGAUUACAACAUUUACUUUAUAGCCACACUUGUUUUUUUCUUCUAGGCGAGCUCAGUUUGCACAGUCCUCCCCAAUGACCAUUUCAGAGGCUGGACAUAAGUAAAUUUCUGGUUGAUGUAUUUUCUACCUGUUCUAGCGACCAUUGUGCGCAAUUUAAACUAGCACGCCUGAUUAUGUUCUGUGGGUCUGCCCUUAGCUUGUAGGUAUCCUGUUAGAUACAAACAACCUUUCCAAGAUGUUCUCAGAAAAAGAUUCAGAAGCAGUGUGAUCGCCUCUUGUUCGGUAACUCUGAACAGAAGAGGCGGGAACUAUUUCAACAAUGUAAUGUACUACUCUUCAUUUGACAUCGAUUUACAAACAUAAAAUGUAUGGAGAAGUUGCAACAUCUUUUAGUAAUAACUGAUGGUAACUUUGACAUUUCUUUGGACCAGUGAUGCUUACUCACAAUGAUCAUCCUUUUUUUUUGAGAAAACGCAAAAGACUUUGCGUUUCAUUGUAUUGAAAAGAGGAGGAGACAACCUCCGGGAGGCUAGUACAAAGGUGUUACAACCAGAUCAGUGCAUAUCCCAGGUGGGUGGCAGGGUGACCCUAAGCCCCUUGGCCCCUGCCUGCGCCCAAUUCCUGGAAUCGUCCUUGAUUGCAUCGGCGAGCUCAACUAGCGAUGGGGUUACAUGGUCGAAUACACACGCGUUCCUAUGCUUCCAGAUCAUCCACGACACGAGAAGCGCAAUCGAGGCCAACGCUUUGCGGAGAGGGUGAGGCGUGGCAUCGCGAGCGCGUAGCCACCAAUCCUGCAGCGAGGCAUCCUGGUCGGGCACAGGUGCCGGUAGUCGCAGCCAGGACAUGAUCCCGUGCCAGGUCUGCUUCGCGAAUGGGCAAGCGAGCAGCAGGUGCUGCAUCGUCUCCGGUUCCUGGUCGCAAAGAAGGCACCGAGGGUGAUGCGUUAGGCCAUGCCGAGCAAGGCGCUCCGCAGUCCAACAACGGUCCUGAUUGGCGAGCCAGUGGAAGAAUUUGACCUUUGGAGGGGCCCAUCCUUUGCCGAGUUCUUGAAGAACACCUACAGAAAGUCAUCCAUGGAUGGCUCAGGAGGAUCUCAAUAUUGCUAAAGAAAGAGACAAGGAUCAGCACUAUAUUUGUUGAAAAAAAACUCGGAGGCAUGUAUCAUAUGAAUUAUCAUAUGCAGCGGGCACAAUAUGCUUUCUACAUGCCAUUUUCUUAUUGACUAAACAGUCUAAACCUGAGUACAUGACAAUUUUCAGUUCUCGUGUAAUUUGAACUCCUACCGGUUCAGAUUACAACAUUCCCUGCAAUUCUUGAUUUGCGUCGCGCUGCAGCACACAUGGCUCGUCGUCCUAUCUGCUUUUGUGCCCUCUACUUCUUGCCCCAAGAUUGAGUGGCAUGGGUUCUCAUUGGGCAAAUAAAGUGCAGAUACCAAGAAACGUCUACCGACUUACCGUCCUCGGCGGUCACGAUGCCCUUGAGUAGAAUCCGCAGGCUGGUUAUGGAUUUCAGCCACUCCACGUCCUGCAGAAAGGGUUACCAGAGAGAGAAUUUUAGAAUUCACGUUACAACUUCGAGGAUGCUCACGAGUCCUGAAGGAUUGGUUCAUGCACGGGUCAUGUGCUCAUGUCUCCCUUGUUUUCGGACAUCAGUGCAGCAACGGCCAAGUACUGCAGCAAAUUCAAGUUUGCAAACUCCAUGCCUCUUUGCGUUUAUAGUCAGCAGCACGUUCCUGUUCCUCCCAGAGGGCUUUGAAUGCGUCUAGCGACUAGCGUGCCUCUAGAUGGGUCAUGCAGAGUGGCAGAAUCGUCCUUGAAACCACAGUUGAAUAUACUUAUGAAGUGAUGUAGGAUCUAACUAUCUAAGGCUUUAAUUUGCAUAUGGGUGCCGAUUUUGUUGUA